GUCUUGUACACACCGCCCGUCACACCAUGGGAGUCGGAAAUGCCCGAAGCCGGUGACCUAACCCCUAGUGAGCAUGACGACGUGAUCAUCGAACUGUGUUCGAUGAUAUUCGUAUAAAAAAUACGACACGGAGUCGAAAGAGGUACGAAAGAAGAAGUCGUGCUCAGUAGGGGGAAGGAGCCGUCGAAGGCAGGUCUGAUAACUGGGGUGACGUCGUAACAAGGUAGCCGUAUCGGAAGGUGCGGCUGGAACACCUCCUUU
rnacentral:rRNA from 1 species